rnacentral:tRNA from 1 species
GCGGGCGUGGCGGAAUUGGCAGACGCGCUGGAUUUAGGUUCCAGUACCGCGAGGUGUAUGAGUUCAAGUCUCUUCGCCCGCACCA